UUUCCGUAGGUGAACCUGCGGAAGGAUCAUUAUCGUAAAACCGAGGUGCGAGGGCUGUCGCUGACCCGUACGGUCGUGCACGCCCGAGUGCCCUCACACAAACCCACCUCCCCCCUAUGCACCCCACCGUGGGGGCCCCCCUUGCUCGUGUGGGGGGGGGGUCGUGCGUUUUCACACAAUCUUAGUAGUGUGUGAAGUAUGUUUUUUUUGUUUUUGCGAACACACAAACAAUACAACUAUCAACAUCUGAGCUCUUGGCUCUCAGAACGAUGAAGAACG
rnacentral:misc_RNA from 1 species